rnacentral:rRNA from 1 species
UCUACGGGAGGCAGCAGUGGGGAAUAUUGCACAAUGGGGGAAACCCUGAUGCAGCGACGCCGCGUGAGUGAAGAAGUAUUUCGGUAUGUAAAGCUCUAUCAGCAGGAACGAGACAAGACGGUACCUGACUAAGAAGCCCCGGCUAACUACGUGCCAGCAGCCGCGGGAAUACGUAGGGGGCAAGCGUUAUCCGGAAUCACUGGGUGUAAAGGGAGCGUAGACGGCUGUGCAAGCCUGAAGUGAAAGGCGGGGGCCCAACCCCUGGACUGCUUUGGGAACUGUACGGCUGGAGUGCAGGAGAGGUAAGUGGAAUUCCUAGUGUAGCGGUGAAAUGCGUAGAUAUUAGGAGGAACACCAGUGGCGAAGGCGGCUUACUGGACUGUAACUGACGUUGAGGCUCGAAAGCGUGGGGAGCAAACAGGAUUAGAUACCCUUGUAGUC